UCGUCCAAUAGGAAUCAGGUU
rnacentral:piRNA from 1 species